GAUGAACGCUGGCGGCGUGCCUAAUACAUGCAAGUCGAGCGAACAGACGAGGAGCUUGCUCCUCUGACGUUAGCGGCGGACGGGUGAGUAACGCGUGGAUAACCUACCUAUAAGACUGGGAUAACUUCGGGAAACCGGAGCUAAUACCGGAUAAUAUAUUGAACCGCAUGGUUCAAUAGUGAAAGACGGUUUUGCUGUCACUUAUAGAUGGAUCCGCGCCGCAUUAGCUAGUUGGUAAGGUAACGGCUUACCAAGGCGACGAUGCGUAGCCGACCUGAGAGGGUGAUCGGCCACACUGGAACUGAGACACGGUCCAGACUCCUACGGGAGGCAGCAGUAGGGAAUCUUCCGCAAUGGGCGAAAGCCUGACGGAGCAACGCCGCGUGAGUGAUGAAGGUCUUCGGAUCGUAAAACUCUGUUAUUAGGGAAGAACAAACGUGUAAGUAACUAUGCACGUCUUGACGGUACCUAAUCAGAAAGCCACGGCUAACUACGUG
rnacentral:rRNA from 1 species